GUGAGGAAUUUUCCGCAAUGGGCGAAAGCCUGACGGAGCAAUGCCGCGUGAAGGAUGAAGGCCUAUGGGUUGUAAACUUCUUUUCUUAGAGAAGAAUAUUGACGGUAUCUGAGGAAUAAGCAUCAGCUAACUCUGUGCCAGCAGCCGCGGUAAGACAGAGGAUGCAAGCGUUAUCCGGAAUGAUUGGGCGUAAAGCGUCUGUAGGUGGCUUCAAAAGUCUCUUGUCAAAGAUCAGGGCUUAACCCUGGGCCGGCAGGAGAAACUCUGAGGCUAGAGUUUGGUAGGGGCAGAGGGAAUUCCCGGUGGAGCGGUGAAAUGCGUAGAGAUCGGGAGGAACACCAAAGGCGAAAGCACUCUGCUGGGCCACAACUGACACUGAGAGACGAAAGCGAGGGGAGCAAAAGGGAUUAGAAACCCGUGUAGUCC
rnacentral:rRNA from 1 species